rnacentral:lncRNA from 1 species
ACCAGUACCAAUUGCUGAAAAUCUGAAAUUUGCAUAUUGCAAUGCUAACUCUCUGCUCUCGCGUCCCGCUGAGUCCAGUUUGCGUCUAUUUCGCGCCAAUAGGACUCGGACUUGUCCUGACACUCUCCAGAGCUGUCAACAAGCCUCAGCUACUGAAUUCCAGGGUUACUACAAUGCAGCUACUACUAUCAACUAAUAGAAUACUACUUUCCUCCAAACUCUCUCUCUCUCUUGUACUUAGUUGUAGGAUGAGUAGGUCUUGGUGAGCAAACACAGAUGCAGGGUUGCUCACUUCACGAAGGAAAAUGAGCACC